AACAUCGCGCACCUGCGGGAACCUGCGGAGGGAUCAUUACCGAGUUUACAACUCCCAAACCCCUGUGAACAUACCAAUUGUUGCCUCGGCGGAUCAGCCCACUCCCGGUAAAACGGGACGGCCCGCCAGAGGACCCCUAAACUCUGUUUCUAUAUGUAACUUCUGAGUAAAACCAUAAAUAAAUCAAAACUUUCAACAACGGAUCU
rnacentral:misc_RNA from 1 species